GACGAACGCUGGCGGCGUGCUUAACACAUGCAAGUCGAACGGAGUGGCGAACGGGUGAGUAACACGUGGGUGACCUGCCCUGCACUUCGGGAUAAGCCUGGGUAACUGGGUCUAAUACCGGAUAGUGUGGGAUGGGCCCGCGGCCUCUCAGCUUGUUGGUGGGGUAAUGGCCUACCAAGGCGGCGACGGGUAGCCGGCCUGAGAGGGUGGAAGGCCACAUGGGGACUGAGGCACGGCCCAGACUACGACGGGGGGCAGCAGUGGGAAAUAUUGCACAAUGGGCGGGAGCGUGAUGCAGCGACGCCGCGGGGGGGAUGUCGGCCUUCGGGUUGUAAACUCCUUUCACCAUCGACGCGGUAGAUGGAGAAGAAGCACCGGCUAACUACGUGCCAGCAGCCGCGGUAAUAC
rnacentral:rRNA from 1 species